rnacentral:pre_miRNA from 1 species
CAAGUACUCCCUCCGUUCGGAAUUACUUGUCAUCAAAAUGGAUGUGUCUAGAACUAAAAUACAUCUAGAUACAAUCAUUUCAAUGACAAGUAUUUUCGGACGGAGGGAGUACAAG